CGGGGUGUGGCGCAGUUGGUAGCGCACUUGCAUGGGGUGCAAGGGGUCGAAAGUUCGAGUCUUUUCACCCCGA
rnacentral:tRNA from 1 species